GAAGAAGAAGAAGAAGAAGAAGAAGAAGAAGAAGAAGAAGAAGAAGAAGAAGAAGAAGAAGAAGAAGAAGAAGAAGAAGAAGAAAAUAAUCGAGAGUUGUUGAGCAAGAAUUUAACAGCAGUGACUAAUGACCAUGGAGAAGGGACAUGAUGGUCUGGAGUUAGGAGUGAGUGUGCAGGUGAGAAUGAGGCUGGCCUCCAUAAGCUCAUGUGUUUGAAUACUUAAUACAAGUUAGUGGAACUUGUGGGGGAAUGGUGAGGAGGUGUGGGCUUGUUGAAGAUGUGUGUAUUUCACUAAAUGUGUCACUUUUGAGGUUUCAAAACAUUCCUAGCGUGCUCUCUGCCUCCUACUUGCAGAUCAAGAAGUGAGCUCUCCAAGGUUUUUGUCACCAUACCUAUUCACUCAUGGACCCUAACCCUCUAAAACCAUAAGGCCAAUUAAAUACUUUCUUUCUCAAGUUGAUUUGGUCAUGAUGUUUAUCUCAGCAAUACAAACCCCAACUAAUAUGGUGAGGAAACUAGGAAAUGGCCUUUUAGACAACUACUAGAGAGUCUAAGCAUCCAGAUCUAGCCAUGACAGCAAGCUUUGUGUUAGAGAUUCCAGAAGUGAAGUACUUCCUGCUGGUGUCCUUUCAGGAGUGAGAAUGGGGCUUAAAGAGUGUGGUGUUCUCUUGUUCUCAGAGUUUCUGACCUGAGUGGCCAACACCAUCCUGCUCUGUAACCCUCCUUACAGCUAUGGGAGACGCUUCUGGUGCAUUGACAGAAACAGAAGGCAAGACCACUUUUAGCUGCUACUUGAACCAUCAAGGCCAAGUCCUGCUGGAGCUCCACAAAUGCUGCCAUGCUCCCAGGUUGGUGACAGACAUCUGGGUGGAGAAUUCUGAGUCUCAGGCCUUUCUCUAAACAGCCUGUAUACAACGGAGGCAUCUUCUGGCCUUCAAAGUUCCAGGUAAGAAAUCCGGGGCCAUUCUGCCUCAGCUAUUAGAAAUAAGCUAAAGCCACCAUGCUUGACAUGAUGGUGCACACCUCCAGCUAUGUAGGAGGCAGAGGCAGG
rnacentral:lncRNA from 1 species